GCCUUGAAUGGCCUGACCACAAGUUCCCCCCACCGCCAUGCUGCUCCUGUGGGUAGCUCUGCUAAAACAAUUCUGGAACCAGAGGAUAAAUUGAAGUUUUUGUACGACUCUAAUUUGGAGGAGUUCCACGUCGUGUUUAUCUCUCACUUUACACUGAAUGAAGGAGGAUUUCACUUAACUGGACAAAAGUAUUUGCUCUUGUGGAUUGAUGGACUUCGUCUUCCUUUUUAUAAAGCUUUGCAACUGAAGGCAGAAGAGAGAAGUCUUCUCACCCUCACACACUGAUUGUGCCAGGAAAAGGGAAAUGCUUCUCCUUGAACACAUCAGGACCAACAGGGCCAGUUGUGAGGACGGUCUGGUUCUGAUAUCUGCCAUCCUUUGAUUACCAGACUCGAUGGGGGUGAGGUAAUCUCUUAAGUGUGCCAGAAAAUUCAUGAGAAAAACAAAAAGGAACCCAAAUCUACAGUGCCCAAUGAACUGUUAAGCAUAACCUGAAAGAAGCACUGCUAAGGGUUUAGUUUACUAGAUAGUUGCACAAGGGCUGGGGGCAACUGCCUUUCUGAAUCAAGACUUAAAGGAUGACUUGCCAUCAGUGAAAAUGUCUAAUUUUCGUUCAGGAUAAUAGCACUCAGUCGUCUGAGAAUAGGAAGCAGAUAUACAUCAAGAGGGAUCCUCACUAAAAUGAAGUCUCAAGCAAAAUAGAUCUAAUAAAUUAAUACUCGAGGCAUCUGUGGCUCAGAUGAGCACACCUUCAGUGUCAUGUGUGGGGAAGGACAGUAAGUUCAGAUGCCAGAUGUCCCCUGUUCAUGGAGAAAUGUCUACGCAGAUGCUAGACCUCGGCUGAAGAAAUAACACCAAUCAAGUUCAUCAGAAAGAGUGACCCAUGGUCUCCGGUGUGCCUUUACCUCCAAGCCCACUGUUGCACAUGCUGAUGAAGAAACUGAAGAAAACAUGCUUUGAGUCCCUAGGAACAGAUACCAAGGAGAUUUUGUCCAGUGGAAAUGCCGUGCUCACUGCCCCACUUUUCCAUGACUGAACCAAAGCUGAAACAGUGGAAUGGCAGGGACUCUCCGAGAUUAUUCUCCAAAGUAAAGGUUUUCCUCUGGGGCAGGAUGGAGACUUUCCUGUCAUGGAGUCACAGGUAGACACGUUGGAGUUAGAGCAGUUCACUCCAACAAGAGUGGGUGAACCCAUCCCUUUCCAUCUCACUACCACCACCUCCUGAUCCUUCCAGUACCUGAAGUUAUUUAUGAAAGGGAAAUCAAACACACCAGCGAAACAGUAGAAAAUAAAGACUGUCUGAAGGUGACCCAGCCGUCACUGGGCCUGGCGGUUGUAAAGGAGCAGGGAGCUUCCCUUUGACUCCUUCCCCCUGGAUUGAUGAAGGAGCAGGGCUAGGAAAAUACCAAAGCACAUGUCUGGACUGCCCUUUCUUCUCCAACUCUCUCCCGCCUCCCUGUGGUCCUUCCGUAA